rnacentral:rRNA from 1 species
AACGAACGCUGGCGGCGCGUCUUAAGCAUGCAAGUCGAACGGCAAGAGAGGAGCUUGCUUCUCUCCUAGAGUGGCGGACUGGUGAGGAACACGUGGGUAAUCUACCCUUAAGAUGGGGAUAGCUGCUAGAAAUAGCAGGUAAUACCGAAUACACUCGGCAUAUCACAAGAGGUGUUGAGGAAAGGAAGCUACGGCUUCGCGUGAGGAUGAGCUUGCGUCCCAUUAGCUAGUUGGUGAGGUAAAGGCCCACCAAGGCGACGAUGGGUAUCCGGCCUGAGAGGGUGAACGGACACAUUGGGACUGAGAUACGGCCCAAACUCCUACGGGAGGCAGCAGCUAAGAAUAUUCCGCAAUGGACGGAAGUCUGACGGAGCGACGCCGCGUGGAUGAAGAAGGCUGAAAAGUUGUAAAAUCCUUUUGUUGAUGAAGAAUAAGGGUGAGAGGGAAUGCUCAUCUGAUGACGGUAAUCGACGAAUAAGCCCCGGCUAAUUACGUG